AACGAACGCUGGCGGCAUGCCUAACACAUGCAAGUCGAACGAGACCUUCGGGUCUGGUGGCGCACGGGUGCGUAACGCGUGGGAACCUGCCCUUAGGUUCGGAAUAACUCCCCGGAAGGGGUGCUAAUACCGGAUAAUGUCUUCGGACCAAAGAUUUAUCGCCUUUGGGUGGGCCCGCGUUGGAUUAGCUAGUUGGUAGGGUAAAAGCCUACCAAGGCGACGAUCCAUAGCUGGUCUGAGAGGAUGAUCAGCCACACUGGGACUGAGACACGGCCCAGACUCCUACGGGAGGCAGCAGUGGGGAAUAUUGGACAAUGGGCGAAAGCAUGAUCCAGCAAUGCCGCGUGAGUGAUGAAGGCCUUAGGGUUGUAAAGCUCUUUUACCCGGGAUGAUAAUGACAGUACCGGGAGAAUAAGCUCCGGCUAACUCCGUG
rnacentral:rRNA from 1 species